rnacentral:rRNA from 1 species
CCUACGGGUGGCAGCAGUCGAGAAUCAUUCACAAUGGGGGAAACCCUGAUGGUGCGACGCCGCGUGGGGGAAUGAAGGUCUUCGGAUUGUAAACCCCUGUCAUGUGGGAGCAAAUUAAAAAGAUAGUACCACAAGAGGAAGAGACGGCUAACUCUGUGCCAGCAGCCGCGGUAAUACAGAGGUCUCAAGCGUUGUUCGGAAUCACUGGGCGUAAAGGGUGCGUAGGCUGUUUCGUAAGUCGUGUGUGAAAGGCGCGGGCUCAACCCGCGGACGGCACAUGAUACUGGGAGACUAGAGUAAUGGAGGGGGGACCGGAAUUCUCGGUGUAGCAGUGAAAUGCGUAGAUAUCGAGAGGAACACUCGUGGCGAAGGCGGGUUCCUGGACAUUAACUGACGCUGAGGCACGAAGGCCAGGGGAGCGAAAGGGAUUAGAUACCCUAGUAGUC